CGAUGGUUCAUUCAAAUUUCUUGCCCUAUCAACUUUCGAUGGUAGAGUAGUGGUCUACCAUGGUUUCAACGGGUAACGGGGAAUUAGGGUUCUAUUCCGGAGAGGGAGCCUGAGAAACGGCUACACAUCCAAGGAAGGCAGCAGGCGCGCAAAUUACCCAAUCCCGACACGGGGAGGUAGUGACAAUAAACUUACUGAUACAGGGCUCUUUUGGGUCUUGUACAUUGGAAUGAGUACAAUUUAAAUCCCUUAACGAGGAACAAUUGGAGGGCAAGUCUGGUGCCAGCAAGCCGCGGUAAUUCCAGCUCCAAUAGCGUAUAUUACAGUUGUUGCAGUUAAAAAGCUCGUAGUUUGAACCUUGGGCCUGGCUGGCCGGUCCGCCUCACCGCGUGCACUGGUCCGGCCGGGCCUUUCCUUCUGGGGAGCCGAUGCCCUUCACUGGGUGUGUCGGGGAACCAGGACUUUUACUUUGAAAAACAUUAGAGUGUUCAAAGCAGGCCUAUGCUCGAAUACAUUAGCAUGGAAUAAUAGAA
rnacentral:rRNA from 1 species